ACCUAUGUUUUAGGCCCGUGCACAUUUGAGAGUGAUCAGUGCCACUGGACUGACACCAGUGAUGGACAGACCAAGUGGCAGAGACAGAAAGCCAGCAACAACACUGAGCCACCCACUGAUCACACCACAGACACGGGCUACUACAUGAGGGUGAAUGUCAGUCAAGCGUCCACACAGAGUGAAGCCCAACUCCAGAGUCCCACACUCCCUUCUUCAUCUCCCUACUGCCAGAUACUGUUUCACUUCCACAUCAGUGCAGAGAGUGCUGGGUCACUCAGAGUGCUUAUGCAGCAAGCUGAGGGGAGUGAAGCAAUCCUGUGGUCACGCAGUCACAACACUGUCUCCCACUGGACCUCAGAGCAUCUGCCUGUAGGCCCACACCAGCAGCC